GAUGAACGCUGACAGAAUGCUUAACACAUGCAAGUCAACUUGAAUUUGGGUUUUUAACUUAGGUUUGGGUGGCGGACGGGUGAGUAACGCGUAAAGAACUUGCCUCACAGCUAGGGACAACAUUUGGAAACGAAUGCUAAUACCUAAUAUUAUGAUAAUAGGGCAUCCUAUAAUUAUGAAAGCUAUAAGCGCUGUGAGAGGGCUUUGCGUCCCAUUAGCUAGUUGGAGAGGUAACGGCUCGCCAAGGCGAUGAUGGGUAGCCGGCCUGAGAGGGUGAUCGGCCACAAGGGGACUGAGACACGGCCCUUACUCCUACGGGAGGCAGCAGUGGGGAAUAUUGGACAAUGGACCAAGAGUCUGAUCCAGCAAUUCUGUGUGCACGAUGAAGUUUUUCGGAAUGUAAAGUGCUUUCAGUUGGGAAGAAAGAAAUGACGGUACCAACAGAAGAAGUGACGGCUAAAUACGUG
rnacentral:rRNA from 1 species